rnacentral:rRNA from 1 species
GUGGGGAAUAUUGGACAAUGGGCGAAAGCCUGAUCCAGCCAUGCCGCGUGUGUGAAGAAGGUCUUCGGAUUGUAAAGCACUUUAAGUUGGGAGGAAGGGCAGUAAGUUAAUACCUUGCUGUUUUGACGUUACCGACAGAAUAAGCACCGGCUAACUUCGUGCCAGCAGCCGCGGUAAUACGAAGGGUGCAAGCGUUAAUCGGAAUUACUGGGCGUAAAGCGCGCGUAGGUGGUUUUGUAAGUUGGAGGUGAAAUCCCCGGGCUCAACCUGGGAACUGCAUCCAAAACUGCAUGACUAGAGUACGGUAGAGGGUAGUGGAAUUUCCUGUGUAGCGGUGAAAUGCGUAGAUAUAGGAAGGAACACCAGUGGCGAAGGCGACUACCUGGACUGAUACUGACACUGAGGUGCGAAAGCGUGGGGAGCAAACAGGAUUAGAAACCCUUGUAGUCC